ACUCCCAGGCUAGUGCAACAGAAAAUAACCGCCGGUAAGAACCGGUAAGGGUGAAAAGGUGAGGUAAGAGCUCACCGCGUCUCUGGUAACAGAGGCGGCGGCUGUAAACCCCAUCCGAAGCAAGACCGAACAGGAAUGAUACGGCGGCCCGUCGUGUUCCGGGUAGGUUGCUGGAGCCUGGCGGUAACGUCAGGCCUAGAUAGAUGAUUGUCUGAUACAGAACCCGGCUUACAGUGCUGCUCAUUGG
rnacentral:RNase_P_RNA from 1 species